rnacentral:rRNA from 1 species
AACGAACGCUGGCGGCAUGCCUAACACAUGCAAGUCGAACGAAACCUUCGGGACCUGUGGCGUCCGGGUGCGUAACGCGUGGGAACCUGCCCUUGGGUUCGGCAUAACUAUACGACUGGGGUGCCAAUACCGGAUCAUGUCUUAGGCCGAAUGAUUUAUCGCAUUUGGUUGGACCCGAGUUGGAUUAGCUUGUUCGUAGGGUAAAAGCCUACUACGGCGACGAUCCAUAGCUGGUCUGAGAGGCUGCUCAGCCACACUGGGACUGAGACACGGCCCAGACUCCUACGGGAGGCAGCAGUGGGGAAUGGUGGACAAUGGGCGAAAUCAUGAACCAGCAAUGCCGCGUGAGUUAUGAAGGCCUGAGAGUUGUAAAGCGCUAUUACCCAUGAUGAUAAUGACAGUACCGGGAGAAUAAGCUCCGGCUAACUCCGUG